UGGGGAAUAUUGCACAAUGGGCGAAAGCCUGAUGCAGCGACGCCGCGUGAGGGAUGACGGCCUUCGGGUUGUAAACCUCUUUCAGCAGGGAAGAAGCGAAAGUGACGGUACCUGCAGAAGAAGCGCCGGCUAACUACGUGCCAGCAGCCGCGGUAAUACGUAGGGCGCAAGCGUUGUCCGGAAUUAUUGGGCGUAAAGAGCUCGUAGGCGGUUAGUCGCGUCUGCUGUGAAAACUCGAGGCUCAACCUCGGGCUUGCAGUGGGUACGGGCUGACUAGAGUGCGGUAGGGGUGACUGGAAUUCCUGGUGUAGCGGUGGAAUGCGCAGAUAUCAGGAGGAACACCGAUGGCGAAGGCAGGUCACUGGGCCGCAACUGACGCUGAGGAGCGAAAGCAUGGGGAGCGAACAGGAUUAGAUACCCUGGUAGUCCAUGCCGUAAACGUUGGGCACUAGGUGUGGGGUCCAUUCCACGGAUUCCGUGCCGCAGCAAACGCAUUAAGUGCCCCGCCUGGGGAGUACGGCCGCAAGGCUAAACUCAAAUG
rnacentral:rRNA from 1 species